rnacentral:rRNA from 1 species
AUUGAACGCUGGCGGCAGGCCUAACACAUGCAAGUCGAACGGGAACAGGAAGCUGCUUGCUGCUUUGCUGACGAGUGGCGGACGGGUGAGUAAUGUCUGGGAAACUGCCUGAUGGAGGGGGAUAACUACUGGAAACGGUAGCUAAUACCGCAUAACGUCGCAAGACCAAAGAGGGGGACCUUCGGGCCUCUUGCCAUCGGAUGUGCCCAGAUGGGAUUAGCUAGUAGGUGGGGUAACGGCUCACCUAGGCGACGAUCCCUAGCUGGUCUGAGAGGAUGACCAGCCACACUGGAACUGAGACACGGUCCAGACUCCUACGGGAGGCAGCAGUGGGGAAUAUUGCACAAUGGGCGCAAGCCUGAUGCAGCCAUGCCGCGUGUAUGAAGAAGGCCUUCGGGUUGUAAAGUACUUUCAGCGGGGAGGAAGGGAGUAAAGUUAAUACCUUUGCUCAUUGACGUUACCCGCAGAAGAAGCACCGGCUAACUCCGUG